rnacentral:lncRNA from 1 species
AAGUAAGAUUUUAAGACCCUCUCUUCUCAUUCAAUGGGGUGUUCAUAUGACGUGUAGGGGUGCCGCGCGUUCGUCGUUAAUCAGAAAUCAAAAUUUACUUUUCUGCAAAACCUAAGAUCCUAAAACCCUAAGAUUUAUUUUAUAUGCUUUGUUUAUAAACCCAAACUUAAUUAAUGAAUUAAGCUUAUGAAAUUAAAUUCGGGGUAGCUCAAUUAGGUCUAGCGGU